UUAACUGCAACUGUGCUCUAGAACAGAUUAUUCCAGGAAUGCUAGCCUUUAUAAGUACAUGUCUCAGAUGGUACUUCAACGUCCAACCAGAGAUGGCAGUGAUUCAGCGAGGAGCAUUCUUGAAGGACUUUGUCAAGGAUGAGGCGCUUAACAACAAUAUUGUCUUGGUAGAGGAGCAUGUAAACAAUGAUGUAUUUGCUUCUUUUAGUCAACACAUGUCAUUUUCCUCUGAGCUUAGUGGAAUUCUAGACAUUGCUCAGCUUUCAAAAAAUCAGUAUUCCUGUAACCUGCUUGAUUUAUUUUUAUUCAGUUAGAAUACAAAAUGUAAUUUUCCUACUCUCAUGGUCCUACUGUAAACUCAUGAUGUAGCUCGGUCUGCAGGUGCUUACUCCUUUGCUCUUGAUUUUUAAGGGUGUUAGUACAAGGGUGCUAGAGAUGCUCUGAAGGCAUAUUGUCUUACUAACUUUUAUGAUCGGCUCUCUCAUGCAA